rnacentral:tRNA from 1 species
GCGCCUGUAGCUCAGGGGAUAGAGCACCGGUUUCCUAAACCGGGUGUCGGAGGUUCAAAUCCUUCCAGGCGC